GAUGAAGAACGUAGCGAAAUGCGAUACUUGGUGUGAAUUGCAGAAUCCCGUGAACCAUCGAGUCUUUGAACGCAAGUUGCGCCCGAAGCCAUUAGGCCGAGGGCACGCCUGCCUGGGCGUCACACGUCGUUGCCCCCCCAUCUACUCCUUCGGGAUUGCGGGGGGCGGAUGAUGGCCUCCCGUGCGCCUCGUCGCGCGGUUGGCAUAAAUGCCAAGUCCUCGGCGACACACGCCACGACAAUCGGUGGUUGCGAAACCUCGGUUGCCCGUCGUGUGCGGUCGUCGCGCAUCGGGGGCUCGAAAAAAUUGCCGGGCUCCGGCUCGGCUUUCAACGCGACCCCAGGUCAGGCGGGGUUACCCGCUGAAUUUAAGCAUAUCAAUAAGCGGAGGA
rnacentral:misc_RNA from 1 species